rnacentral:rRNA from 1 species
GAUGAACGCUGGCGGCGUGCCUAAUACAUGCAAGUCGAGCGAACAGACGAGGCGCUUGCUCCUUCGACGUUAGCGGCGGACGGGUGAGUAACACGUAGGUAACCUACCUAUAAGACUGGUAUAACCUCGGGAAACCGGAGCUAAUACCGGAUAAUAUUCCGAACCGCAUGGUUCGAUAGUGAAAGAUGGCUUUGCUAUCACUUCUAGAUGCAUCUGCGCCGUAUUAGCUAGUUGGUAAGGUAACGGCUUAUCAAGGCAACGAUACGUAGCCGACCUGUGAGGGUGAUCGGCCACACGGGAGCUGAGACACGGUCCUGACGCCUACGGUAGGCAGCAGUAGGGAAUCUGCCGCAAUGGGGGGAAGUCUGACGGAGCAACGCCGCGUGAGUGAUGAAAGUCUUCGGAGCGUAAAGCUCUGUUAUGAGUGAAGAACAAACGUGUAAGUAACUGUACACGUCUUGACGGUACCUAAUCAGAAAGCCACGGCUAACUACGUG